rnacentral:lncRNA from 1 species
AAGAAAAAUAGAGCUGUUGAUGUAGCUUGAGCACUUUAGCCAUGCUUGAGGCCCUGGAUUCCAUCCCCAGCACUGUGUUUUAGUCAGUCCUGGACAAAAUUCACAAUAUCAAACUGUGAUUUCAGUCUGGGCUGUGGUUUGUCAUGUAAGGUCAAGUGUGGAAUUUUCUACUUGUGGCAUCAUUUCAGUGCUCAGAGUUUCAGAUUUUGGAGAAUUAGGAAUGCUUAACCUGUAGUUUUUAACUUGAAAACAUCAUGAACCAUUAUGAAAGAAUGUUAGAUU